rnacentral:rRNA from 1 species
AUGGGAAUCGAAAUCGUCUUUGGAGCAUUGGGAUGCUUCACACAACUAGUUUGCCAUCUUUAUCAGAUAUUCGACUUGAUGAGGAGUACAGCUGAGAGAGUGGAGCUUAUCUCUGUCCUACUAAAUGUUAUACCUAACACACUUUUGGGCGUGGUAUCGAUUGUGAUCACUUACUUGAGGCAUCGAGAGCAACUGUUUAUGAAUAUUUUAGGUUGUCUUAAUUUGAUCUGUUAUGUUCUGGAGUUUAUACUAAUUCUACGAAUGUGUGAUCGAGUGAAAAACUUUUUUGGUUCAGAACGCGAAGGUGACACCGAUGGUAUUCAAACGGCAAAUCUGGGAGUGGCAAGGGAUACACCGAUAACAAGAGCAGAUCCUACAGUUUCUUCUCAAGCAUUUUUUGAUCAUAUUAGAGCCUUGCGUAAUGGCCAUGAGACCCUGGACGACAGCAUGGGUGUGUGA